UGCUGGUGGCAGCCCCAGUGCUGACAUCUGCUUUGGCACAGGGCUCCCUGGAGCCAGGGGAGACGCUGCCACUGAAGCUCAAGUG